GGUUCUGUGGUGUAAUGAAUAGCACUCUAGACUCCGAAUCCAGCAAUCCAAGUUCAAACCUUGGUGGAAUCU
rnacentral:tRNA from 1 species